rnacentral:misc_RNA from 1 species
UGUUCACUCGUGGUUCUUGUGUUGCCUACCCGUUUAGCGGUAUUAAUGUGCCUCUUAAGACCCGUUCCAUCCAGACCCCUUCUUGGGGCUUCUGGGGAGUUCGAAAGUGAUGCAUGUUUUGCGUUAGCUGUGCAUUGUAACGGCUGGCGUGCUAACAUGUGUCUACUGUUCCCUCGGAUGCUGUGCACGCGGUGAACGUGGGCUGACGAUUGUGCCCCGUUGAGUCCCUUUGAAUUAUCGGUUGCCUUGAAUGACACUCUGUCGUAGUGCUGGUGUUGUUUACCAUUCGUGGUGUCAACACUAGUACGUCGAGCAGAGUCGUUGAUGGAUGCUACCUGGUUGAUCCUGCCAGUAGUCAUAUGCU